AGGCGCACUCACAGCCCCAGGGAUAAUAUAGGAGCUUUCUAGUGGCUUUCCGCACGAUGCUGGUGAAGUUGAAGGCGGGACAUGAAGUCAUAAGGCAUGCACAGACAAAGAAAUAUACAAACACCGCUGUCAUCAUGGCAUGCAGCCCAACUUUGUUUCAUUGAUUUCAGCCAGUUGACCUGCCGUCUUUGCAGCGCGGAGGGUCGGAUAAAAUACAAAGCUAGUUAUAGUUCACCCGAUAGAAGUGUGGAGAUAACAAGUUGGAGGAGUGAGACUAAAACUUUUAUUCCGAGUCAUGUGUCAGCGGUGUGAGUGGAGAGACACAGCUCGGGAUGUUAAAUGCGUCACAUUCGGGAAAGUGGAAUCAAGAGUUGGAAGAAAGCAGGAUUUUGACAGAAGACGUGACGUGUUGGUGUGGAGGCUUCGGAAUUGUGACAGAGCUGGGCUGAAUAACGCAAGUCGUGUAAUUGAGCAGCUAUUUAAAGAAGUGUUGCUUCCAUCGUAAUGAUAUCAGAGAGAUCUCACUGUGCUUCACACAUUGUCAUGGAGAUGGAGGGGCGACUGAAUCACACCAAAUCCUCAUCUCUAACAAGACACAGAGCUACAUUGGCUGUCCUUUGGAGUUGUGUUUCUUGGCGCCUGAGUAACGUCAUCUGUGUGACCUGGUUCUGGACUUAACAGACUCUCCUUACAGUACUAAAAACCAUCAGAGGAGAAACGGCAUCAGGAAAGUCUCAGUAUCCUCAGGAAGAUGCAUCAGGAUGACCAUUGACCUGAGAGCCUACAUUAACAGCUGACACAACUUGACACAACACUAUACAAAAACUCUUUACUCUGGAGGACAUAGUGUGGACAGUUUACAUAAAAGUUUUUUUUUUAUUUCCAUUUCACUAAUUAUAAAUAAAGUGAUUUACUUUUAA